AUGAAAUUUCAUUUAUGAUAUUAAUCAAAUUUACAAUAAAAAUUUACAUAUAAAUACUUGUAGCAUUUAUUGUAACAAGUAGUACGAGUAGUUCAUUUAAUAAACUACGAAAAUGAAAUUUCUCUUUGCUAUUCUGGUUUUGAGCUUAUUGGCAACUGUACUCGUCAAUGCUCAAUUUAAUAGAGUCGGGCCAGCGUCUCACAGUUACAAUGGUGUUUAUGAAGGACAAAUGAACAUCGAAAAUACCAUGAAUGAUGGUUCUAUUGGAUAAGUCUGUGAGAGAC